CUUAAAGAAAGGGGAUCAGGGGAGUAUCCAGAAAUCGGCGGUACAAUGGGACUUGGGAUUGCUGGUGCAGGAUUCUCAAAAAGUUAAUCUGCAAGUCAAAUCAGUCGCAAAGAAAGCAAACUCAAUGCUAGCAUUUAUUUCAACAGGGCUUGUAUACAAAAACAGGGAUGUAAUGUCGAG